CUUUCCCUCUUUCUUUCGGCCUAACACAUGCAAGUCGAACGGCAGCACAGUAAGAGCUUGCUCUUACGGGUGGCGAGUGGCGGAUGGGUGAGGAAUACAUCGGAAUCUACUUUUUCGUGGGGGAUAACGUAGGGAAACUUACGCUAAUACCGCAUACGACCUACGGGUGAAAGCAGGGGAUCUUCGGACCUUGCGCGAUUGAAUGAGCCGAUGUCGGAUUAGCUAGUUGGCGGGGUAAAGGCCCACCAAGGCGACGAUCCGUAGCUGGUCUGAGAGGAUGAUCAGCCACACUGGAACUGAGACACGGUCCAGACUCCUACGGGAGGCAGCAGUGGGGAAUAUUGGACAAUGGGCGCAAGCCUGAUCCAGCCAUACCGCGUGGGUGAAGAAGGCCUUCGGGUUGUAAAGCCCUUUUGUUGGGAAAGAAAAGCAGCAGGUUAAUACCCCGCUGUUCUGACGGUACCCAAAGAAUAAGCACCGGCUAACUUCGUG
rnacentral:rRNA from 1 species